UACGAAGGGGGCUAGCGUUGCUCGGAAUUACUGGGCGUAAAGGGCGCGUAGGCGGAUGGUUCAGUCAGAUGUGAAAUUCCUGGGCUCAACCUGGGGGCUGCGUUUGAUACGUAUGGACUUGAGUUCGGAAGAGGGUCGUGGAAUUCCCAGUGUAGAGGUGAAAUUCGUAGAUAUUGGGAAGAACACCGGUGGCGAAGGCGGCGACCUGGUCCGAUACUGACGCUGAGGCGCGAAAGCGUGGGGAGCAAACAGG
rnacentral:rRNA from 1 species